GGGCACAGUGGCGGACGGGUGAGUAACGCGUGAGAAUCUGGCUCUAGGUCUGGGACAACCACUGGAAACGGUGGCUAAUACCGGAUGUGCCGAGAGGUGAAAGGUUAACUGCCUAGAGAUGAGCUCGCGUCUGAUUAGCUAGUUGGAAGUGUAAUGGACUCCCAAGGCGACGAUCAGUAGCUGGUCUGAGAGGACGAUCAGCCACACUGGGACUGAGACACGGCCCAGACUCCUACGGGAGGCAGCAGUGGGGAAUUUUCCGCAAUGGGCGAAAGCCUGACGGAGCAAUACCGCGUGAGGGAGGAAGGCUCUUGGGUCGUAAACCUCUUUUCUCAGGGAAGAACAAAAUGACGGUACCUGAGGAAUAAGCAUCGGCUAACUCCGUGCCAGCAGCCGCGGUAAUACGGAGGAUGCAAGCGUUAUCCGGAAUGAUUGGGCGUAAAGCGUCCGCAGGUGGCUAUGUAAGUCUGCUGUUAAAGAGUCUAGCUCAACUAGAUAAGAGCAGUGGAAACUACAAGGCUAGAGUACGUUCGGGGCAGAGGGAAUUCCUGGUGUAGCGGUGAAAUGCGUAGAGAUCAGGAAGAACACCGGUGGCGAAGGCGCUCUGCUAGGCCGUAACUGACACUGAGGGACGAAAGCUAGGGGAGCGAAUGGGAUUAGAUACCCCAGUAGUCCUAGCCGUAAACGAUGGAUACUAGGCGUG
rnacentral:rRNA from 15 species